GUAGGUCACAAGCGUUGUCCGGAAUUACUGGGUGUAAAGGGAGCGCAGGCGGGAAGACAAGUUGGGAGUGAAAUCUAUGGGCUCAACCCAUAAACUGCUUUCAAAACUGUUUUUCUUGAGUAGUGCAGAGGUAGGCGGAAUUCCCGGUGUAGCGGUGGAAUGCGUAGAUAUCGGGAGGAACACCAGUGGCGAAGGCGGCCUACUGGGCACCAACUGACGCUGAGGCUCGAAAGUGUGGGGAGC
rnacentral:rRNA from 1 species